rnacentral:lncRNA from 1 species
AUGGCCUUCAGGCCUCCCUGCCACGGGGAUGCUGCCUUUUCUGCUCCGGGUGUUUCCACGAGGCAGGCAUGGAAUCUUCCCUGGACAAGCGACAUACCGUGGAGAGACAGCGGAAGACACCAUACAGUAAACACAGGAGCCUGCGAGAGAACCUCUGCCGAGCACCAGUGAACGGCCAAGUGACACGAGUGACACCAUGAGCUUGGUGCCCUCUCCAUCCCAAGCCAGAGGCGGAAGCCAGGCCCUUCCUCCCAGCCCAGACUCCUACAUCCCAAACUUGAGCCAUGGCACACAUGCUGGGCACUUACUCUGUGCAUAGCAGAGGGAGCUGAGCUGCAUCCAGAAACAGACCUAGGAGCUCACAGACCCAAGGCCUGGGUCUCCACCCCUGGAAGAGGGUGGUGCCGAGAGCAGGGCCCCCGGCUGUCACUGGCCCGGAGCUCACCGUGCAGGGGCAGCCCAGGCCCUCCGGGGAUGGCACUGGGGUGUCGGAGGCCAAGGAGCAGAAACAGCUGUGGAUGCUUCCCUCGGAGGACUGGGUGGGGCCGGGACCACCAGGACCUGCC